CUAUAGUUAUAAUUGAUAAUGC
rnacentral:siRNA from 1 species